AUUUUAAACUUAGAAUUAAGAUGAUUCACGCCGGAUUGAGAAAAAAAUGAAUUUAUUUUAAUUCCAACAAAGACGAUUUACAAAAAUAUAUUUUGUAAAUUUAGUUAUUAAAUUUAUGUGCAUCGCAUAUUUAUUUAAUUUAGCAUUCAAGCAUUUUCAUGAGCUAUUUAUUUAAGCAAACAUUGAACGAUUAUUACAGUUUUCAUAGUACAACCCGGAAGAUUUUUAUUUUAUUUUAUUUUACUCCACUACACCCACUACCCACUACACCUACUCCUUAUUUUAUUUUAUUUUACUCCACUACACCCACUACCCACUACACCUACUCCUACACAGCAAUACAUUCGUCCACUCCUCUCUGUCUGCCAUAUCUCAAUUAUUCUCGCAAGGAAGAAAUUCAAUGCACAUCUCUAUCUCCAGAAGUUCAACAACAUCAUAUUCACUAACCAUUCGUCUCUACACAGAACACUAUAAGGCUUUGUGACCAGGGGGAUUAGCGCUGCUUUCCCAAGACAGGUUUUAUGUGUAUGAUCUUCAGGCUUUGCCUAUCCAGGUUGGCUGGCCGGUGCUGACGGGACGGAGCUGAGGCUAGCGAUAAAUUCCUAUGUUAGACUUCCGCUGUAGCAAUUACUCAUAUCAGUCUUUUUGUUUUCCCAACUUAAGAUCUUCAUGUUAAAUUUCAAAUAAUAUAUUUGACCGAGCUUAGACUUU